GAUGAACGCUGGCGGCGUGCCUAACACAUGCAAGUCGAACGAGACUGAUUAGAUUGAGAUUUCGGUUGAUUUCUAUGAAAGUCGAGUGGCGGACGGGUGAGUAACACGUGGGUAACCUGCCUUACAGAGGGGGAUAACAGUUUGAAAAGACUGCUAAUACCGCAUAAGCACACAGUACCGCAUGGUACGGGGUGAAAAGAUUUAUCGCUGUAAGAUGGACCCGCGUCUGAUUAGCUAGUUGGCAGGGUAACGGCCUACCAAGGCGACGAUCAGUAGCCGACCUGAGAGGGUGAUCGGCCACAUUGGGACUGAGACACGGCCCAAACUCCUACGGGAGGCAGCAGUGGGGGAUAUUGCGCAAUGGGGGCAACCCUGACGCAGCAACGCCGCGUGAAGGAUGAAGGUUUUCGGAUUGUAAACUCUUUUAUUAAGGACGAAUAAUGACGGUACUUAAUGAAUAAGCUCCGGCUAACUACGUG
rnacentral:rRNA from 1 species